AUUGAACGCUGGCGGCAGGCUUAACACAUGCAAGUCGAGCGGGGGAAGGUAGCUUGCUACCGGACCUAGCGGCGGACGGGUGAGUAAUGCUUAGGAAUCUGCCUAUUAGUGGGGGACAACAUCUCGAAAGGGAUGCUAAUACCGCAUACGUCCUACGGGAGAAAGCAGGGGAUCUUCGGACCUUGCGCUAAUAGAUGAGCCUAAGUCGGAUUAGCUAGUUGGUGGGGUAAAGGCCUACCAAGGCGACGAUCUGUAGCGGGUCUGAGAGGAUGAUCCGCCACACUGGGACUGAGACACGGCCCAGACUCCUACGGGAGGCAGCAGUGGGGAAUAUUGGACAAUGGGGGGAACCCUGAUCCAGCCAUGCCGCGGGUGGGAAGAAGGCCUUAUGGUUGUAAAGCACGUUAAGCGAGGAGGAGGCUACUUUAGUUAAUACCUAGAGAUAGUGGACGGUACUCGCAGAAUAAGCACCGGCUAACUCUGUG
rnacentral:rRNA from 1 species